rnacentral:rRNA from 1 species
UACGUAGGGUGCGAGCGUUAAUCGGAAUUGCUGGGCGUAAAGCGUGCGCAGGCGGUUUUGUAAGGCAGAUGUGAAAUCCCCGGGCUUAACCUGGGAAUGGCAUUUGGGACUGCAAGGCUUGAGUGCGGCAGAGGAGACUGGAAUUCCUGGUGUAGCAGUGAAAUGCGUAGAUAUCAGGAGGAAUACCGAUGGCGAAGGCAGGUCUCUGGGCUGACACUGACGCUCAUGCACGAAAGCGUGGGAGCAAACAGG